AGUGAACGCUGGCGGUAUGCCUAAUACAUGCAAGUCGAACGGAAGCACAGUAAGAGCUUGCUCUUACGGGUGGCGAGUGGCGGACGGGUGAGGAAUACAUCGGAAUCUACUUUUUCGUGGGGGAUAACGUAGGGAAACUUACGCUAAUACCGCAUACGACCUACGGGUUAAAGCAGUGGAGCUUCGGACCUUGCGCGAUUGAAUUAGCCGAUGUCGGAUUAGCUAGUUGGCGGGGUAAAGGCCCACCAAGGCGACGAUCCGUAGCUGGUCUGAGAGGAUGAUCAGCCACACUGGAACUGAGACACGGUCCAGACUCCUACGGGAGGCAGCAGUGGGGAAUAUUGGACAAUGGGCGCAAGCCUGAUCCAGCCAUACCGCGUGGGUGAAGAAGGCCUUCGGGUUGUAAAGCCCUUUUGUUGGGAAAGAAAAGCAGCAGGUUAAUCCACCGCUGUUCUGACGGUACCCAAAGAAUAAGCCCCGGCUAACUUCGUG
rnacentral:rRNA from 1 species